rnacentral:rRNA from 1 species
ACAGCAGUCGCCGCGGUAAUACAGAGGGUGCGAGCGUUAAUCGGAUUUACUGGGCGUAAAGCGUGCGUAGGCGGCUUUUUAAGUCGGAUGUGAAAUCCCUGAGCUUAACUUAGGAAUUGCAUUCGAUACUGGGAAGCUAGAGUAUGGGAGAGGAUGGUAGAAUUCCAGGUGUAGCGGUGAAAUGCGUAGAGAUCUGGAGGAAUACCGAUGGCGAAGGCAGCCAUCUGGCCUAAUACUGACGCUGAGGUACGAAAGCAUGGGGAGCAAACAGGAUUAGAUACCCGAGUAGUCCCUGUCUCUUAUAA